GAUGAACGCUGGCGGCGUGCCUAAUACAUGCAAGUCGAGCGAACGGACGAGAAGCUUGCUUCUCUGAUGUUAGCGGCGGACGGGUGAGUAACACGUGGAUAACCUACCUAUAAGACUGGGAUAACUUCGGGAAACCGGAGCUAAUACCGGAUAAUAUUUUGAACCGCAUGGUUCAAAAGUGAAAGACGGUCUUGCUGUCACUUAUAGCUGGAUCCGCGCUGCAUUAGCUAGUUGGUAAGGUAACGGCUUACCAAGGCAACGAUGCAUAGCCGACCUGAGAGGAUGAUCGGCCACACUGGAACUGAGACACGGUCCAGACUCCUACGGGAGGCAGCAGUAGGGAAUCUUCGGCAAUGGGCGAAAGCCUGACGGAGCAAAGCCGCGUGGGUGAUGAAGGCCUUCGGGUUGUAAAGCUCUUUUGUUGGGGAAGAAAAGAAGUAGAUGAAUAUCCGGAUGUCCUGACGGUACCCAAAGAAAAAGCCACGGCUAACUUCGUG
rnacentral:rRNA from 1 species